rnacentral:rRNA from 1 species
ACACGGCGUCAUAGAGGGUGAGAAUCCCGUAUGUGACCGGUGACCGAUCUCACGUGAAACCCCUUCGACGAGUCGAGUUGUUUGGGAAUGCAGCUCAAAAUGGGUGGUAAAUUUCAUCUAAAGCUAAAUACUGGCUGGAGACCGAUAGCGCACAAGUAGAGUGAUCGAAAGAUGAAAAGCACUUUGGAAAGAGAGUCAAAAAGUACGUGAAAUUGUUGAAAGGGAAGCGCUUGCGACCAGACCUGUCCGUAGGCGAUCAGCUGCCGUUCUCGGUGGUGCACUCGCCUGCGAUCAGGCCAGCAUCGGUUCGAGCGGCCGGAUAAAGGCCUUGGGAAUGUAGCUCCCCUCGGGGAGUCUUAUAGCCCUCGGUGCAAUGCGGCCAGCCCGGACCGAGGACCGCGCUUCGGCUAGGAUGCUGGCGUAAUGGUUGCAAGCGACCCGUCUUGAAACACGGACCAAGGAGUCUAACAUCUAUGCGAGUGUUUGGGUGUCAAACCCACACGCGGAAUGAAAGUGAACGGAGGUGAGAACCCUAUAGGGCGCAUCAUCGACCGAUCCAGAUGUCUUCGGAUGGAUUUGAGUAUGAGCAUAGCUGUUGGGACCCGAAAGAUGGUGAACUAUGCCUGAAUAGGGUGAAGCCAGAGGAAACUCUGGUGGAGGCUCGCAGCGGU